rnacentral:rRNA from 1 species
CCUACGGGAGGCUGCAGUGAGGAAUAUUGGUCAAUGGCCGGAAGGCUGAACCAGCCAAGCCGCGUGAGGGAGGAAGGCGCAGAGCGUCGCAGACCUCUUUUGCCGGGGGACAAAAGCCCGGACUCGUCCGGUCCUGAGGGUACCCGGAGAAAAAGCAUCGGCUAACUCCGUGCCAGCAGCCGCGGUAAUACGGAGGAUGCGAGCGUUAUCCGGAUUCAUUGGGUUUAAAGGGUGCGCAGGCGGGCCUUUAAGCCGGCGGUGAAAGCCCGGGGCUCAACCCCGCCGCGCCGUCGGAACUGGGGGCCUUGAGUGCGGCGGAGGCAUGCGGAAUGCGUGGUGUAGCGGUGAAAUGCAUAGAUAUCACGCAGAACUCCGAUUGCGAAGGCAGCAUACCGGCGCCCGACUGACGCUGAGGCACGAAAGCGUGGGGAUCGAACAGGAUUAGAUACCCGAGUAGUC